rnacentral:rRNA from 1 species
UACGAAGGGGGCUAGCGUUGCUCGGAAUCACUGGGCGUAAAGGGUGCGUAGGCGGGCCUUUAAGUCAGAGGUGAAAUCCUGGAGCUCAACUCCAGAACUGCCUUUGAUACUGAAGAUCUUGAGUUCGGGAGAGGUGAGUGGAACUGCGAGUGUAGAGGUGAAAUUCGUAGAUAUCAGGAAGAACACCCGUGGCGAAGGCGGCUCUCUGGAACGCAACUGACGCUGAGACGCGAAAGCGUGGGGAGCAAACAGG